rnacentral:misc_RNA from 1 species
GCUACGUACUAAGAAAUACACAGAAACCUUUCGUACUUGAAGCGUCCCGCUUCCGGUUUCGCGACUUGUUAUUUAUCACAUCGAAAAUACGAUUGUUCGUGGAAUUUAGAAGGUUGUAUACUAUCGUAUUAUUGAUGCAAGGUAGUUGCUUAUUAUUCGCGCGCAUACGGCGAACCAGAGCCUUAAAUGUUCUCCGCCAGAUUGGGGUCGAAACUGUCAAAUAAAAGGCAGCAGCAAUCGAUUUGUAAGUUUGCCUCAUAUUCAAUAGAACCCACUUUUAACGACAAUAAUAAUCGUUGGCACAACAAUCGAAUUGGAUCAGAGUCUUGAAGUGUGUUAGAGCACUUCAUUCAAUACCGUAACGCCGCACUACAGGGGUACAGUACCCUGCAGGAGGCAAUGUGGUCAGCAUUGCGCUCGCCCGAGAUUAUUACCCUGAUUUGACUCAGGUACUCAUUCACAGCUGAGUUGACUGGUAUCUAACGUCAAAUCACGAUAGAAAUCCUUCUGCCACCAGUGAGAUUCGAACCGCGACCUUCCAUACGACAGCUUUGUCCCCUAACUGCUUAGCUAUCCGAACAAUUUUGUCGAUUGGAGCGCUAAAUGAUCAUGCCCAUCUACCCAAGAUAGCCCACAGCAUUAGCUCAUCGCUGCCGAAAUUGCGGUCCGAGAAAUACUUAGAAUCCUUCCGCAAUUUCUUCUAGUGAUAAUUGAAGUCGUCUCUGCUGAUGAAAAUAUGUUACGUGGAAUGCUACUGUGGAAAAAAUAGUUUUCACAAGUUUCUACAUCGUAACAAUAUGAUAGUGAAAACACACAUUGGCUUUCGUUCCCGAAACGUUUGGCUAAAUUUAGUGUAUAAUUAGAUGUACCUUCUUUACAUCCAACAUCGUACUCCUUGUAAGAAGCAAUCACAAUUAAAGGCCAACCAUCGGGGUGGAAAACAGGUUGAUAUAUCUUGAAUAUAUCUUGUUCUUCCUCAGUGACUGCGUGUGGAGCGAUACCGAGCGCACUGGAAGAGGGCGCAACUUGUCACGAGGCCCAUUUGAAAGAGCAGGACUACUCCACACGGAGUAAUCGUUGCCAUGUGAAUUGACUUUUAAAAAAAAUUUAAAAAAAAAUAAUUGGAGUUAGAACUCCUCUCUUGCGAUUAUUUACAUUUGUUUUAUAGUUAUAAUUUAAAUUUAUUAAAAAUACCAAAGUAAAAUGUUUUAAUUGAAUUAAAUCUGUUCUUAAUUAAAAAAAUAUAAUUAUAAUUGUGUUGAUAUGAAAAGUUACCGAUUACCGAGCCAACAAGGCUACAGAAUUAAAAGGAAUAUGCGCACAUAAUAAUAAGUAGUGAGCAAAGAAAUCCACCAAGUAACUAGCAGGAAGUCCUCGAAGUAUACGUACAUCUAACUGAAAUGAACCUGGUUGGUUAUGUCUCCCACGGCCACAGAUCACGUAAUCUUUACUUAAACAUAAUGCUGUUCACGUAUUUGGGUACUCACAGGGAGAGAGGGCUUCGUUGCAAAUGGUCCCUAUCUAGGAAUUUUGUAAUAUUGUGUCACUUAUCUAUUUCAAGAUAAUUGAAAAUUAAUAUGUUUGGAUCCAAUGGUAGAAGCUACGUUCACGGUUCACUAACAAGCAAUCGGAUGCCAGAUACACAACUAAAACAGUCAAGCACGGGAAAAGAAAUAUCACCGUUUCGAAAGAAUUCGACGAAAUACUAAUAGGAGUCAAGAACAAAUUCCUUUGGGACUCCUUUUUGACCACAAAAUAAGGGAGUGUUUCUCAUUAUUUGUUUUACAUGAAUUAUUCUUUUCUUAGUAUUUUUAUGAUUUUUUUAAAUUUCAAUGUAAUAGAAUAUUUACAAUAUUUAUAAUUUUAAACCAGUCAUUUUUCUUUUUAAGUUGUCAUCAAAAUAGUAUAUGGUUGUUUAGAAAAUAACAGUUGGAAAUUUAAAAAGCUUUCUGAAAAUAAAAUAUCAUAACACACGAAAAGUGGAUCAAUCGCUAAAUGUGUCCGAAAAAUUAUGACAAUUCAAAAAUAACGUGGCAAUAUAUUCAGAAGAGCAAGGAGAACGUUUUUAUAGAGACAAUAUGGAUAUCGAAAACCAUUAUCAAAAUCAAUACAAUCAAAACAUGAAAACAUAAUCUAGAUAUAGUUUCAAUCAGAAAAACUGCAUACAAGCAUAGCAAAGAGAGUUAAAGAGUUGAUUUUUAAAUUGUAUUUGAAUACUUUGGUUAUUAGCACCGUUGUUAAAAUUAAUAAGAAGAAUAUAGGAGCAUAUCUAAUUAAAUCUAUUUAAUGAAAUCAAAAGCUUCCUUAAAUCUUCAAAUAAUAGCGAACUGUUUAAGGAGGAUAUUUUUCCUUGACUAGAAUCAUAUGAAAUUUCAACUCAUUCCAUCCUUCUUACUUAACCUUUGACCAUCGAUAAAAAGUAUGAAUAAACGUUAAAUACGGCCGAGUAAAACUUUUGUGACGACCGGCACCACAAGUAAUCCCCUUGUGCGAAAAGCAACUAAACAGAAUAAGUUAUAAAUUGUAAAUACGUAUUAUCAUCUCACCAACUUUUCAAAGAAUUCCAAUUGUAGAAGCACAUGAGAUCAUCGACAUUUAAACAUGAUAAUAUCUAAAAAAAAAUAAAACUA